ACUGGGAGGCCGGGCCCAGGGGAGGAGACGGCGUUCGGUUAGCGGCGUUGGGGUUUGGCUGCAGUAGCAGUGCUUUCUCCUCUGCUCACGGGGACCCGCUCAGGCUGGAGGCCAGCCAGCUCUUGCCGCCGCCUCGGUCGCGAUGGGGGCGCAGGACCGGCCGCAGUGCCACUUCGACAUCGAGAUCAACCGGGAGCCGGACCUGGCAGGUCUAACAUCUGGUCUCAUUUCCUGACAUCCUGGCUCUUUGAUUCUCUGAUCUGCACUAAUAUCCUCGUCAUA
rnacentral:sRNA from 1 species